AUCACCUGGGGAUCUUGUUAAAAUGCAGAUUCUGACUCAGCACGUCUGAGAUCCUGCAUUUCUAAUAAACUCCCAGGUGAUGCGGA
rnacentral:pre_miRNA from 1 species